GAUGAACGCUAGCGGCAGGCUUAAUAUAUGCAAGUUGAGGGGCAGCAUGAUAUACGCGAGUAUAUUGAUGGCGACCGGCGGACGGGUGAGUAAUAGGUAGGAGACCUACCUCAUACAGGGGGAUAGCAUAGAGAAAUCUGUGGUAAUACCCCAUGAGGUUAUAUGAAUAGAGGCAUAUAAUCAAAGCAUAAGCGAUUAUGCGGUAUGAGAGGGGCCUACUGACCAUUAGCUAGUUGGUGAGGUAAGGGCUCACCAAGGCGAAGAUGGUUAGGGGUUUUGAGAGAGAGACCCCCCACAUUGGAACUGAGAGACGGUCCAGACUCCUACGGGAGGCAGCAGUAGGGAAUAUUGGGCAAUGGGCGAAAGCCUGACCCAGCCAUGCCGCGUGAAGGAAGACGGCCUUAUGGGUUGUAAACUCUUCUGUCGUAGAGGGACGGUAACUAAAGUGACGGUAACCUACCGGAAGGGAAGGUACCGUACGGUCGUAAAAACGUACGUACCGGCCUAAGUCCGUAGG
rnacentral:rRNA from 1 species